AAAUGACAGUUCUAGCUUAAUGUCUUUUAUUUGGUCUUUUUUAAAAACAAUGCUUGAAACAAGAUUUUCUCCUCUUAAUUUAUCUACAUAAAGAUAUAACUAUACUAGCUAGCCCCUUUAGAGACUAAUAUAGCAGCUUUAAUAUUUAUACUCAAAGAACAAAUGAUCAUACUUAUACCUGACUCAGGGAAUAUCCUUGGAUAAAUGUCGAAUUCCACCUACUUCAGAGAAUUCUUGGGCACACAGGCAAGACACUGCCCUCCCCUGAUAUUACCUGUGUUUACACUCAAAUCCUUUGUUUGAAAUAGCUGCCUCUUUGCUCUUGACUCCCCAGGCCUCCACUGAUCACUUCUCUCUCUGGUUCAGGCUUCUGGAAUGUGAUUUUUAGAAUUAAAAACUAGGACAUGUGAUAUGAUCGAGACUCAAUUCCAAUUUGUUAAGGUUAAAUAAUAUAUAUUUAAGAGUGCUCAUGUUUUUUCACAUCAUGACAACUGUGAAAUCAGGAUACAUGUAUAAUUCUUGGGAAUGUUAUGGCUUAAUUGGUGUUUUUUUCUCCCUUAAUAGUACAUAUUUCUUCUUAUAAUGAAUGACUUCUAGGCAUCAAUAAGCAUAUUUAUUAAAAAGCAUAUACAAGUUGAUGAACAUAAAGUAAUGCUUAGUUGUCUAUUUUAAAACAGUUUGGCUGGGCACAGUGGCUCACACCUGUAAUCCCAGCACAUUGAGAGGCCAAGGCAGGCAGGUUGCUUGGAGCUUAAAAGUUUGAGACCAGGCUAGUCAAUGUGGAAAACCCCAUCUCUACAAAAAAACACAAAAGUGAGUGGGGCAUGGUGGCAUGUGCCUGUAGUCCCAGCUACUUGAGAGGCUGAGGCAGGAGAAUCGCUUGAGCCUGGGAAACAGAGGUUGCAGUGAACCAAGAUGCCUCACUGCACUCCAGCCUGGGUAACAGAAUGAGACCCUGUCUCAAAAAUAUAUAUAUAUUUUAAUUUGCAUAUACUAAAAUUACCUCUUUUGGCGUACGUUUCUGUGUUACGACAAAUGCGUAGUCAUGUAUUAAUCACCACAGUCAAGAUACAGGACAAUUCCAUCACGCUUCAAAAUUCCACAUUACCACUUCAUAGACAAACGCUUUUCCUACCAACAACGCUCUGCAGCACUGGUCCAUUUUAGUCCCUCACGUUUUGUGUAUUCCACAAUGUCAUAUAAACGGAAUUAUACAGUAUAUAUUCUUUUGAGCCUGUAUUAUUUCACUUGGCACAAUGCACCAGAUAUUCAUCUACAUUGUGGCAUGUAUCAAUUAUUACCUAGUUUUUAUUGCUGAAUAGUACUGCAUUGUAUGAACAUUAAAAAGAUUUCAUUCACCA
rnacentral:lncRNA from 1 species